rnacentral:rRNA from 1 species
GCAAGUCGAGCGGAAACGGAGAUAGCUUGCUAUCAGACGUCGAGCGGCGGACGGGUGAGUAAUGCCUAGAUAUCUGCCUAGUCGUGGGGGAUAACAGUUGGAAACGACUGCUAAUACCGCAUACGCCCUACGGGGGAAAGGAGGGGACCUUAGGGCCUUUCGCGAUUAGAUGAGUCUAGGUGGGAGUAGCUAGUAGGGGAGGUAAUGGAGAACCUAGGCGACGAUCCCUAGCUGUUCUGAGAGGAUGAGC